AGAGCGUAAGGGGAAUGCCUUGGCACCAGGAGCCGACGAAGGACGCAGCGAUCUGCGAAAAGCCACGGGGAGCCGAAAGCAGGCUUUGAUCCGUGGAUAUCCGAAUGGGGAAACCCGCAUGGUUAAUAGCCAUGCGACGUAUACUGAAUAAAUAGGUAUGCGUCGGGAACCGUCUGAACUGAAACAUCUAAGUAGGACGAGGAAAAGAAAUCAACCGAGAUUCCGUAAGUAGUGGCGAGCGAACACGGAAGAGGCCAAACCGAAGGUAGCAAUAUCUUCGGGGUACGGACAGUAAACGGCAUUGCGGUAUCUUAGCAGAAGUGCAUGGGACGGCACACCAUAGAGAGUGAUAGUCUCGUAAGCGAAAAGAGAAGGCAGCCAACUGUAUCCAGAGUACCGCCGGACACGUGAAACCCGGUGGGAACAUGGGGGGACCAUCCUCCAAGCCUAAAUACUCCCUGGUGACCGAUAGAGAACAGUACUGUGAAGGAAAGGUGAAAAGAACCCCGGGAGGGGAGUGAAAAGAACCUGAAACCUUAUGCUUACAAGCACCGAGAGCCCAUCAAAGGGUGAUCGGGUACCUUUUGUAGAAUGGUCCGGCGAGUGAAUGUAACUGGCAAGGUUAAGCACUUCAGGUGUGGAGCCGAAGCGAAAGCAAGUCUUAAUAGGGCGUCAAGUCAGUUGUAUUCGACCCGAAACCGUGUGACCUAGCCAUGAGCAGGCUGAAGUGGAGGUAAAACUCCAUGGAGGGCCGAACCCACUCCCGUUGAAAUGGUAGGGGAUGACUUGUGGCUAGCGGAGAAAUUCCAAUCGAACUCGGAGAUAGCUGGUUCUCUCCGAAAUAGCUUUAGGGCUAGCCUCGAUUUGACAUUACCGGAGGUAAAGCACUGAAUGGGCUAGGGGCCGAGAGGUUACUGAACCCUAUCAAACUAAGAAUGCCGGAUAAUGAUAAUCGGGAGUCAGACAGUGUGAGAUAAGUUUCAUUGUCAAAAGGGAAACAGCCCAGACCCACAGCUAAGGUCCCAAAGUACAGUUAAGUGGUGAAGGAUGUGGAAUUGCAUAGACAACCAGGAUGUUGGCUUAGAAGCAGCCACUCAUUAAAAGAGUGCGUAAUAGCUCACUGGUCGAGUGACCCUGCGCCGAAAAUUCAACGGGGCUAAACAAUGUACCGAAGCUUGGGAUUCUAGAUUUAUCUAGAGUGGUAGGAGAGCGUCGAAUAAGGGGUGAAGUCAGAGCGGAAGCGCUGGUGGACUUUAUUCGAGUGAGAAUGCCGGAAUGAGUAGCGAGAAUUAUGUGAGAAUCAUAAUGGCCGAAAGACUAAGGUUUUAGAAGGAAGGUUCGUCCGCUUCUAGUCAGCCGGGAGCUAAGGCGAGGCCGAAAGGCGUAGUCGAUGCACAUACGGUGGAGAUUCCGUAGCCGCCAUUAAUUUAAACAGAGGGACACUUUCAAGGGGCAUGACCCGGGCGUUGGUAGACCCGGGCGUAAGGGACCGAAGAUUAGUAGGGAAGCAUGCUUUAAGGAAGGCGAGAAAAGCUCUGUGUAUAGAAGAUGGCGCCCGUACCGCAAACCGACACAGGUAGUCAGGAAGAGAAUUCUAAGGCCAACGGGAGAAGGGUAGUUAAGGAACUCGGCAAAUUGACCCCGUAACUUCGGAAUAAGGGGUGCUCACGAGAGUGAGCCGCAGUGAAUAGGUCCAGGCGACUGUUUAUCAAAAACACAGCUCUCUGCUAAAUCGAAAGAUGACGUAUAGGGGGUGACACCUGCCCGGUGCUGGAAGGUUAAGAGGAAGGGUGCAAGCUCUGAAUUGAAGCCCCAGUAAACGGCGGCCGUAACUAUAACGGUCCUAAGGUAGCGAAAUUCCUUGUCGGGUAAGUUCCGACCCGCACGAAUGGUGUAACGAUCUGGACACUGUCUCAACUACCCACCCGGCGAAAUUGUAGUACCGGUGAAGAUGCCGGUUACCCGCGGCAAGACGGAAAGACCCCAUGGAGCUUUACUGUAACCUGAUAUUGGGUUUCGGUAUUUUAUGUACAGGAUAGGUGGGAGACUAUGAAACUAAGGCGCCAGCCUUAGCGGAGUCGCCCUUGGGAUACCACUCUUAAAGUACUGAAAUUCUAACCUGCGGCCGUGAAUCCGGUCGGGGGACAUUGUCAGGCGGGCAGUUUGACUGGGGCGGUCGCCUCCAAAAGAGUAACGGAGGCGCUCAAAGGU
rnacentral:rRNA from 1 species